ACUAAAACCCCAGUUUGAAAAAAAUAGGUAGCAGCUCGAAACGUCGAUAAAUGUUUGAUGAUUUAACCAUUUCAACAAGUCGAUUUACAGAGUCAACCUCGCUUGUGUUUUUUAUGAAGAUACGGUUAGCAUCUCGAAAUGUCGAGCAACGUUUGAUGAUUUAACCA
rnacentral:lncRNA from 1 species